ACGGAAGGCAGCAGUGAGGAAUAUUGGUCAAUGGGCGGAAGCCUGAACCAGCCAAGUCGCGUGAAGGAUGAAGGUAUUAUGUAUUGUAAACUUCUUUAGCAGCAGAGUAAUAAGGGGGUCGAGACCUCCGAUGCAAGUAUGCUGAGAAUAAGGAUCGGCUAACUCCGUGCCAGCAGCCGCGGUAAUACGGAGGAUCCGAGCGUUAUCCGGAUUUACUGGGUGUAAAGGGCGUGUAGGCGGAGCUGCAAGUCAGAUGUGAAAUCCCGGGGCUCAACCCCGGAACUGCAUUUGAAACUGUAGCCCUUGAGUAUCGGAGAGGCAAGCGGAAUUCCUAGUGUAGCGGUGAAAUGCGUAGAUAUUAGGAGGAACACCAGUGGCGAAGGCGGCUUGCUGGACGACAACUGACGCUGAGGCGCGAAAGCGUGGGGAGCAAACAGGAUUAGAUACCCUGGUA
rnacentral:rRNA from 1 species